CAGGCAGGUGAAGGUGAACACCUGAGGGCCAGAUCCAACUGCCAUUCCCACCCCUGGCUAUUCUACCACCAACUGCCCUGAGGGAAAGAUUCCAGGAGAGAUCCCUGCUGCUCUAGCCGCCUGUAAAGAUGGGGGAAUUUGACAGUUUUGAACAUGGUUACAAGAUUGACUUCAAUUGAUUAAAUGAGAUAGCUUCUCCCACCACCCCUGCUGAAACCAGAGACCUCCCAUUCAUCAUCAGAAAUGUAACAAAGGAACAUGUUGAACCAUUAGUAAAUGAAGCACGCUGAUUUUAAGUAUGGGGAGUUAAGGAGGCAGAAAGAAUUGCUUUUGCCGCUGGAGACCAUUACUGCUACAUUAAAGCCACAAUCCUAUACACACUUAUAUAUGGGAGUCAGUUCCA